AGACAACAGAAGGGCCCAAAAUUUCAGUAGUUGCAUCACCGUUUUGAUGACUUAAUCUUUCAUUUGAAGAUGUUGGCCUCACAGGCGUAAGGGGUGACUGGUUGAGCCUAGUGAACAGCCAGUCUCUCUCAUUGGGCUGGAGAGAUAGGAGAGGUGUUUUCUCUUCCACGAGAAUAGUUUACAGGUUGUGUAUGUAUAUUGACGGUUGAGGAUAGUUGGUUGGCAAAAGAUAUGACGGUCGAUGGUGGAGAGAUCUUUCUUUGUAUGCUGCAUCCCUUCACAGCAUUUUGUUUGGUUUCUGAAUAAGGAACCCGGAG
rnacentral:sRNA from 2 species